GCACUCUUGUUUCUCUUCAGAUCGUAUAAAUCUUUCGCCUUUUACUAAAGAUUUCCGUGGGGAGGAACAACAAGAGUUUGAUUCAAUAUUUUGAUGCCCUGCAGUAGUAGGGCC
rnacentral:snRNA from 1 species